GGUGCCAGCAGCCGCGGUAAUUCCAGCUUCAGUAGCAUCUAUUAAAGUUGCUGCGGUUAAAAGGCUCGCAGUUGAAUUUCAGUGCCGGGUGUCGGUAGGUGGACGUUGGAGCGCGAGAUCAAAGGUUGUCUGUGCUCUGUGCUGCCUUCGGGCUAGUGCGGUGUGCGGCAGCCUCUCGUAUACUCCCGUCCGUAACAAGCCUCCGCAUCCGAGUACAUAGUGGCGGUCUGUUCGGUCGGUUGGGCUGUUCGCGGUCCUCUCGGCUUAGACCGCCGGUGUCACCCUGAGUAAAUCAGAGUGCUCAAAGCAGUCGUGAGGGAUGCCUAGUGUGUCCCGUGAAAAGUCUUGACGGAUCGUCUUGAGUUUGCAUGGCAUGUUGGAAGAUGAUGUCGAGCGCUGGCCAGGAGCAGUAUCACUCGGUGGUGACGGCCAGCCUCGACGUAAUGAUUAAAAGGGCUUGUCGAGGGCAUUGGUAUUGCGGAGCGAGAGGUGAAAUUCUAUGACCUUCGCAAGACCGCCCGAAGCGAAAGCGUCUGCCAAGGAUGUUUUC
rnacentral:rRNA from 1 species